CCUUAGAACUGAGUUAUCAGGUUCAGCAACGCUUACCACCGAAAUGGGUCUGAAUCUUGCAGAAUCUGGCUCUCCUCUGGAAGGUGGAUCUGCCCCAACAAGGAGAGAAGAGAAUCUAGGGACCAUGUACUCCAAGAUGCUGAAGCCUCCACAGCCUUCUAAGACCAGAAAUUGGACUAGCUGGAUUAGGAGACAUGAUGAAGAUGGAAAGAAAUGUUGGCUACCUCUGAGGUUUCUUGCGGUCAGACUUCCAGGUGACAAGGGGCCACGCCGGCUUUCGGCGCUGAUGCUGCGGACGGAGGGCGGGCUGUGGCUGCAGGUGGAACUGCUGACUCCACACCGGAUUUGGAACCGCUCUACCCACCCAUCUCAUCAGGAUCCCAGAAUCAACAGAGCAGUUGCUCAUGCUCGAACCUCACCAAGUACCAGCAGGGGGCGCGGUGGAACCAGGCUGGUGCCUUUGAGUCCAAGAGCCUUCCUAGCAUCCCUGAGCUAUAUAGACUAUCCUAUAAGAACCACAGUAGAUGUCUAAACAUCUAGCCUAGGCCCGACUGUAUGGACCAGGCUGGUCUCAAAUUUGCAGCAAACUUCUGCUGAGACCUCACCACCCGAGUGCUGCAUUUAGAAGAGUGGGCUACUGUACUUGGCGUGCCCAAUCUGAAGGAAAUUUUGUAGAAAUAAAGGUCAAUUUCCCAAGAAAGGAGCCUGGGAGCCGUUGACAAUGGUGUUAAAUGACGUCGAGGGCUAGUGAUGUCCAAGACGAGUAAAACGGCUUCAAUUUAACAUGACCUCACGCUGGCAGGCUUCCUGUGUGGUGGUGUGUGCUUUCAGGUUCCCACUUACUCCUCGUGGGGCUGGGGAGGUGGCUCAGUGGGGAGACAGGCGGAUCCCAGCGCCUCACUGGCCAGCCAGUCUUGUGAAAACAGGAAACUUCAGAGCGUUGAAGCCAACCUGAUCUACAGAGCUAAUUCUAGGACAGCCAGGGCUACGCAAGGAAAUCCUGUCUGAGAAAACUAAAGGGGUAGGAGGUGAAGUGGGGGAACUCCAGUUCAAUGAGAGAAUCUGUCUGAUGAAAUAAGGUGAACAGAAAUAAAGACACUUGAUGUCAACCGCC